GAUGAACGCUGGCGGCGUGCCUAAUACAUGCAAGUCGAGCGAACAGACGAGGAGCUUGCUCCUCUGACGUUAGCGGCGGACGGGUGAGUAACACGUGGAUAACCUACCUAUAAGACUGGGAUAACUUCGGGAAACCGGAGCUAAUACCGGAUAAUAUAUUGAACCGCAUGGUUCAAUAGUGAAAGACGGUUUUGCUGUCACUUAUAGAUGGAUCCGCGCCGCAUUAGCUAGUUGGUAAGGUAACGGCUUACCAAGGCAACGAUGCGUAGCCGACCUGAGAGGGUGAUCGGCCACACUGGAACUGAGACACGGUCCAGACUCCUACGGGAGGCAGCAGUAGGGAAUCUUCCGCAAUGGGCGAAAGCUUGACGGAGCAACGCCGCGUGAGUGAUGAAGGUCUUCGGAUCGUAAAACUCUGUUAUUAGGGAAGAACAAAUGUGUAAGUAACUCUGCACGUCUUGACGGUACCUAAUCAGAAAGCCACGGCUAACUACGUG
rnacentral:rRNA from 1 species